UGAUUGAUCGUUAUCAAAAUAAGCGUGAU
rnacentral:piRNA from 1 species